GGAGAACUUGCCCUACGCUGGAGAAUAAUCUCGGGAAACUGAGGACAAUGCUCCAUAGCCUCGCCUUCCUGGAACGGUGGUGAGGUGAAAGCUCCGGCGGCGUAGGAUAGCUCUGCGGCCUAUCAGGUUGUAGCGAGGGUAACGUCCUCGCUAGCCUACGACGGGUAUGGGUGUUGGGAGACAUCGCCCAGAGAUGGAUUCUGAGACACGAAUCCAGGCCCUACGGGGCGCAGCAGGCGCGAAAACUGCACAAUGUGGGAAACCACGAUGCGGGAAACCCAAGUGCCAGCGCUAUGCGUUGGCUGUCCUCCAGUGUUCGUAACUGGGGAAGAAAGUGCUGGGUAAGACGGGUGCCAGCCGCCGCGGUAAUACCCGCAGCACAAGUGGUGGUCAUUAUUAUUGGGCCUAAAGCGUCCGUAGCUGGCUUGUUAGAUGCCUGGGUAAAUCGAUGCGCUCAACGUAUCGAACUCCGGGUAGACCGGCAAGCUUGGGACCGGGAGAGGCGUGAGCUACUCGAGGGGUAGGGGUAAAAUCCUGUAAUCCUUCGGGGAGGACCAGUGGCGAAGGCGUCACGCUAGAACGGCUCCGACAGUGAGGGACGAAGCCCUGGGGCGCAAACCGGAUUAGAUACCCGGGUAGUCCAGGGUGUAAACGCUGCAGACUUGGUGUCGGUGAUCCUACGAGGGUUGCCGGUGCCGUAGAGAAGUUGUUUAGUCAGCCGCCUGGGGAGUACGGUCGCAAGACUGAAACUUAA
rnacentral:rRNA from 1 species